UUUAUGGAGAGUUUGAUCCUGGCUCAGGACGAACGCUGGCGGCGUGCCUAAUACAUGCAAGUCGAGCGGACAAUUGAGAGCUUGCUCUCAAUUGUUAGCGGCGGACGGGUGAGUAACACGUGGGCAACCUGCCCUGUAGACUGGGAUAACUUCGGGAAACCGAAGCUAAUACCGGAUAAUCUUUUGCGUCACAUGGCGCAAAAGUAAAAGUUGGGUUUUACCUAACACUACAGGAUGGGCCCGCGGCGCAUUAGCUAGUUGGUAAGGUAAUGGCUUACCAAGGCGACGAUGCGUAGCCGACCUGAGAGGGUGAUCGGCCACACUGGGACUGAGACACGGCCCAGACUCCUACGGGAGGCAGCAGUAGGGAAUCUUCCGCAAUGGACGAAAGUCUGACGGAGCAACGCCGCGUGAACGAUGAAGGCCUUCGGGUCGUAAAGUUCUGU
rnacentral:ncRNA from 1 species